GAUGAACGCUAGCGGCAGGCCUAACACAUGCAAGUCAAGGGGUAGGGUUAGCUUGCUAACUUGAGACCGGCGCACGGGUGCGUAACGCGUAUGCAAUCUACCUUGUACAGGGGGAUAGCCCAGAGAAAUUUGGAUUAAUACCCCAUGGUGUUAUGAUGUGGCAUCACAUUAUAACUAAAGUUCCAACGGUACAAGAUGAGCAUGCGUCCCAUUAGCUAGUUGGUGUGGUAACGGCAUACCAAGGCAAUGAUGGGUAGGGGUCCUGAGAGGGAGAUCCCCCACACUGGUACUGAGACACGGACCAGACUCCUACGGGAGGCAGCAGUGAGGAAUAUUGGUCAAUGGGCGCAAGCCUGAACCAGCCAUGCCGCGUGCAGGAUGACGGUCCUAUGGAUUGUAAACUGCUUUUAUACGGGAAGAAACACUCCUACGUGUAGGAACUUGACGGUACCGUAAGAAUAAGGAUCGGCUAACUCCGUGCCAGCAGCCGCCGUAA
rnacentral:rRNA from 1 species